ensembl:lncRNA
GUAACUUCUCGUGCCCUCAAUGCGGGUUCACCAAAACCAUAGCAUGUUGCAGAUGUUACAUAGGUCAUGUAAGUGCAUCUCCACAGUUGAUUUACAUCCUCCACCAGGGUUCGAGGUGAGAGGACACAAUGUCGUCAUCCCAGUCGAGCUGGUGUUGUCAAAAUAACCGGCAGUGUGCUGACCUACAGCUUCUGUACCGAGCUGAAGGACAGCUGUUUACUGACCACAUGAAUCAAACUUUACAAAGCUGAGGGAGUGAGUCAAUAGCUGCAUCGCCAAACUAUGACGGGCCAAGCUGCUGGCCUACGGGGUUAGAAACAAAGAACAGACCCUGCGGAAAAGAGACAAGGGACACAGAAGGAGCAAACAUGUGAAAAAAAAUAUUUCCCCCGCACCGGGGUAAAAUGAGCAGUUACAUAAUGCCAUAAUGUCUUGGAUGGUUCUCGCUUGCUACAGAUUGCUCAUUAUCUUGCAAUAACAACGUGCUGUAAGUAAAGACCAACUGUGAUAUGAAUAUGAGCAUUAACAAUGUACAUCUGCGCAGUAUAUUGGGGUCACAUUAUGACAUGAAGAGAAGCAUUCUGCUCCCACUUCAUGCGUCACUUUGCAUUGCAUUUACUUUCGCAUAUAUGCCAUCUCAUUGGUGCC